GAUGAACGCUGGCGGCGUGCCUAAUACAUGCAAGUCGAGCGAACGGACGAGGAGCUUGCUUCUCUGAUGUUAGCGGCGGACGGGUGAGUAACACGUGGAUAACCUACCUAUAAGACUGGGAUAACUUCGGGAAACCGGAGCUAAUACCGGAUAAUAUUUUGAACCGCAUGGUUCAAUAGUGAAAGACGGUUUUGCUGUCACUUAUAGAUGGAUCCGCGCUGCAUUAGCUAGUUGGUAAGGUAACGGCUUACCAAGGCAACGAUGCGUAGCCGACCUGAGAGGGUGAUCGGCCACACUGGAACUGAGACACGGUCCAGACUCCUACGGGAGGCAGCAGUAGGGAAUCUUCCGCAAUGGGCGAAAGCCUGACGGAGCAACGCCGCGUGAGUGAUGAAGGUCUUCGGAUCGUAAAACUCUGUUAUUAGGGAAGAACAUAUGUGUAAGUAACUAUGCACGUCUUGACGGUACCUAAUCAGAAAGCCACGGCUAACUACGUG
rnacentral:rRNA from 1 species